rnacentral:misc_RNA from 1 species
AUAACAACCCGUCGAGCCGACUAGGCUUGGUCUUGGGGCUCGCCCGCAUUCGGCGCGGCGGCUCUUAAACGCAGUGGCGGUGCCGGUGGUGCUUUCCGCGUAGUCACAUUUCUCGCGCGAGGGCAGAAUCCGGACCCAGCCAGCAACCACAAAGUCCGCUGCGCUCUGCGCGGCGACUUUUGUACUUCUUCUGG